GCCACGAGGAGGGAGGACAGGAUAAGCUACAACAGGCACCAACAGAAGGCUGUCGGACCCAUCCCAGUGUUUCUUUUUCUUCAUACCUCCAAGAUAAUUAAACCUGACAAGAGCUACGGGAUCACAUAAAGAUGAACUGAUGCCUGCUGGAGAAGCUUAUGAAAAUUCAUUUAGCAAGCCAAAGGAGGCUGCUCCCCAGUCUGGUAGGUGCUGCACACUUCCCUGCCCUGGGCCCUGAGACUGGAAGCUGCUGACUGCCUCCUACGAUCAAAAAUGGUGAGAAGUACUGGAUCCUUGAUGGGAAUUGGGACCUGUGUGUCUGACCUUAGCGAUGUCCAGGGGAAACAAGCCAAAAUGCAGAGAGUGAAAGACUGUGCAUGUCCAGAGAGCAGAACUGAGUGAACUUGAAGCCUGUUAUGGAAGGUGCCCCCUACAAACGGAGCAUCCCUAAUGCUGCAUAUUGGCAAUGUCACAGCUGCAACGACUGGACUUGUACUCUGCGUUUUAAGGCAUGCGCAGGUUUUCGGCUAGAUUGAAUUCUUGCUGUUCGCUCAGGUAAUAAGCCUCAACCAACACUCUCCUUUACUGACAAAAUCCAGGGUGAACAAAUCCACAUUCAAAAUGUGGUUCCUGCAGAAUUCCCUCACAAGCAUUUGCCAACAACCCUCGAUGAAAGGCUCGUGGUGCUCAGGCAGGAUCACAGCACUGAGAUGCUGCUGCACUGGUGAGACCUGCCACAGGCAAAGAAGUUCAACAAAGCCAUAAAGUAACCCAACCUCUAGCAAAGGGAAGAUUAAUUUUUGUUGGCAGCUUUUCUUUUUUUGACAGCAAUCUGUAGAUAUUCUGAUUGCCUCUUCUGGAGCGUUUUUGGCCUGAAAAUACCCAGGGAUUUGAUGCCGCAGAAUGGCUCACAAUGAUGGUCCAGUUGGGCAACUCUGGCAGACCAAUGUCGGUUUGAGCUCUGAUUCACGUUUGCCAUGCUCAGAGAAAAAAGAGUAAUGCCUCUUUCCUUCUUAACAAUCAUUAUUUUAUUAAUAUAUUUUACAAGAUUGCAAUUGAAAUCAUUUAAAUACAAAUUUUUUUAUACAGAAAGUGUAAUAAAGUUAAAAUAGUUC